GAUGAACGCUGGCGGCGUGCCUAAUACAUGCAAGUCGAGCGAACAGACGAGGAGCUUGCUCCUCUGACGUUAGCGGCGGACGGGUGAGUAACACGUGGACAACCUACCUAUAAGACUGGGAUAACUUCGGGAAACCGGAGCUAAUACCGGAUAAUAUAUUGAACCGCAUGGUUCAAUAGUGAAAGACGGUUUUGCUGUCACUUAUAGAUGGAUCCGCGCCGCAUUAGCUAGUUGGUAAGGUAACGGCUUACCAAGGCAACGAUGCGUAGCCGACCUGAGAGGGUGAUCGGCCACACUGGAACUGAGACACGGUCCAGACUCUUACGGGAGGCAGCAGUAGGGAAUCUUCCGCAAUGGGCGAAAGCCUGACGGAGCAACGCCGCGUGAGUGAUGAAGGUCUUCGGAUCGUAAAACUCUGUUAUUAGGGAAGAACAAAUGUGUAAGUAACUAUGCACGUCUUGACGGUACCUAAUCAGAAAGCCACGGCUAACUACGUG
rnacentral:rRNA from 1 species